rnacentral:rRNA from 1 species
UACGGGGGGGGCAAGCGUUGUUCGGAAUUACUGGGCGUAAAGGGCUCGUAGGCGGCCAACUAAGUCAGACGUGAAAUCCCCAGGCUCAACCUGGGAACUGCGUCUGAUACUGGAUGGCUUGAAUCCGGGAGAGGGAUGCAGAAUUCCAGGUGUAGCGGUGAAAUGCGUAGAUAUCAGGAGGAACACCUAUAGCGAAGGCAGCUUGCUGGGACGACACUGACGCUGAGGCGCGAAAGCGUGGGGAGCGAACAGG